GCCUAACACAUGCAAGUCGAACGCUAUUUAUAGAGUGGCGCACGGGUGAGUAACGCGUGGGAACCUGCCUUUUUCUGCGGGAUAACGGUUGGAAACGACCGCUAAUACCGCAUACGCCCUACGGGGGAAAGGUCCGCCGGAGAAAGAGGGGCCCGCGUCUGAUUAGCUUGUUGGUAGGGUAAUGGCCUACCAAGGCUACGAUCAGUAGCUGGUCUGAGAGGAUGAUCAGCCACACUGGGACUGAGACACGGCCCAGACUCCUACGGGAGGCAGCAGUGGGGAAUAUUGGACAAUGGGGGCAACCCUGAUCCAGCAAUGCCGCGUGUGAUGAAGGCCCUAGGGUUGUAAAGCACUUUCACUGGUGAAGAUGAUGACGGUAACCAGAGAAGAAGCCCCGGCUAACUUCGUGCCAGCCGCCGCGGUAAUA
rnacentral:rRNA from 1 species